UUCUUUUUAACCACAAACGACUCUCGGCAACGGAUAUCUCGGCUCACGCAUCGAUGAAGAACGUAGCAAAAUGCGAUACUUGGUGUGAAUUGCAGAAUCCCGUGAACCAUCGAGUUUUUGAACGCAAGUUGCGCCCAAAGCCACUCGGCUGAGGGCACGUCUGCCUGGGCGUC
rnacentral:rRNA from 2 species